rnacentral:ncRNA from 1 species
CCCGACAAAGCCAAACCCUCCGAGAGAAGGGGGCGGGAAGCGGCGGGCUUUAACAAUAAGAUGGCCGAGCUGCCGAAG